GGAAGUCUGAAAAUACAAAUGAAGGUGAUCUAGCUAUAGCGUCAAUCUAUCCAGUUACCUUAGUACGUCGUACGUCGGCCCUGGGAACGAGAUUUCGAUUGAACCACUCUCCAUGAGUGGUAACAUUCUUGUGCGCAUGUGCUCGAAGUGGACCGGAUAAACGCAAGAUUUCACGCAGAUGGCCCCAUGAUCCUUCUUGCGUCCGUAGAAAAUCUCAGUUAUCUCAAUCAAGCGGUUAUCGUCACACAGAAUGGUGGCGACACCGUACUCGCAGGCGAACUUGGUGUUAAUGGGAUCGUCACGCAAAGUUGGCACUACAACAUGGGAAAGUUUAGUUCUUGUGUGUAACAAGACUUAUUACAGCGCGACCAUAAAACAUGAACCUUUAACCCAUUGACCCCUCAACCGGCCUGUACCGGCAAGUACCCACAAACCCAAAAAAUUCAUAAAUGUAAAAUCAACAUAACUAGAUCAAGAUACUGAGGCAGGCAUCAACUCGAAGGGAUAAAUGUAUAGCAUUUCGGCUCCCUGUGGUUUCCCCAAUGGUUUUAACAUCAAAAUUAUCUGUUAGAAUAUCAGCUAUAACUUAAUGAGGCUUGUUUGUCUAUCAACCAGAA